rnacentral:rRNA from 1 species
AGUGAACGCUGGCGGUAGGCCUAACACAUGCAAGUCGAACGGCAGCACAGUAAGAGCUUGCUCUUACGGGUGGCGAGUGGCGGACGGGUGAGGAAUACAUCGGAAUCUACUUUUUCGCGGGGGAUAACGUAGGGAAACUUACGCUAAUACCGCAUACGACCUACGGGUGAAAGCAGGGGAUCUUCGGACCUUGCGCGAUUGAAUGAGCCGAUGUCGGAUUAGCUAGUUGGCGGGGUAAAGGCCCACCAAGGCGACGAUCCGUGGCUGGUCUGAGAGGAUGAUCAGCCACACUGGAACUGAGACACGGUCCAGACUCCUACGGGAGGCAGCAGUGGGGAAUAUUGGACAAUGGGCGCAAGCCUGAUCCAGCCAUACCGCGUGGGUGAAGAAGGCCUUCGGGUUGUAAAGCCCUUUUGUUGGGAAAGAAAAGCAGCAGGUUAAUACCCCGCUGUUCUGACGGUACCCAAAGAAUAAGCACCGGCUAACUUCGUG